ensembl:lncRNA
AGCUCUUCACCAGAAAACUCUGACCUUGGUUCACAGAGAACUGGCAAGAUUCACCUGAGAGUUUUACACAGUCUGUUUACAUGAACAAAUACAUGAAGAUUUCAGCCUAAUGAAAAAGAAAAAAUAUGAUCUGCAAAACGUUAAAGUGUGUUGUCAGAAUGAAGAAGGCUUUGCAGGAUGCAAAGAAUCUGGAUGAUUCGUGGAUAAAAGAAGAAAGUGACACUAUCGAACUUAUUGAUUUGAGUAACAGAAUGUUAUUGUUACAAAAAGUAGUUCAUCGAAUUGAUUUGAAUUGUAUUCAUUAUAUAAAUGAUUAUAAUUAUUUUCUUAAAAAUAUUUUUUUUCCUGUCAAUCAAACUCUGUCUUCUAAAAUGUCAUAUUUUAUAACCCACUUUAAAAUCAAUGAAAAGGUUGAUUUAAAAAGUCAAUAUGCAUUUGCAGUGAUUGAACUUAAAACAGGAGAACGUAUAUUAAUCGGACCCUUUAAGCCAAAAAAUGUUGGUCAGACUGGUAAAUAUCCCGAUAUACAUCACAGCGAGCAUCAAUGCAUAAAUAAUUUAAAACAAGAAAUUAAGGAUAUGAAGAAGAAGAAGAGAAUAAUAAAAGCUAUUUAUAUAUUUACUAAAUAUAGUCCCUGUUUAGGCAUAAAGGGAAAGUUGUGUCCUUGCAUGACCCAGCUAGCUAAUUUCUCUAAAGAUAUGUAUAAUGAAUUUAAUAUAGAUAUUUACAUUACUUUCCAGGACAUUUAUGGUGCGACAGGAAGUACAGCACAAACAAUAAAGAGCUUAGUAAAAACAUCAGAUAAACUGAGUAAAAAUUAUGAAGAAUCUCGUAAUAAAAUAUUGAGUUUAAUGAAACAAGUUAAGAAACAAUAUUCUAGAUCAAAAUUUACAUUUUUCCUGGGAGAUAAAGACCAAGAAAGGUUCAAAAAUGAUAUAAUAAAAGAAACUAGAUAAAAAAGUUUGUCAAGACAAACUUUAAGUUGGCUUGAGAAAGCCUGAACAGAAAGUUUGGAAAGUUUGGAAAGUUUGAAAAGUUUAAAAAGUUUGAAAAGUUUGAAAAGUUUGAAGUUUCAAAAGUUUGAAGUUUGAAAAGUUUGAAAAGUUUAAGAAGUUUAAUAAAGCAAGUGACUAGCAUGUCA